GGAUAGCUCAGCUGGUUAGAGUGUGGUGCUGGUAACACCAAGGUUGCAGGUUCAAUCCCCAUAAGCAACA